AGUGAACGCUGGCGGUAUGCCUAAUACAUGCAAGUCGAACGGCAGCAUAAGAAGCUUGCGCCUCUACCGUUGGCGACUGACGGAUGGGUGAGGAAUACAUCGCCAUCUUCUUAUACGUGGGGGACUUCGUAGGGCCGCUGCUGCUAACAGCGCAUACGAUGUACGGGAGAAAUCAAGAGUGCAUGGGGCCUUUGGCGAUUCUAUGAGCCGAUGUCGCAUUAGCUAGUUGGUGGGGUAAAGGCCCACCAAGGCAACGAUGCGUAGCUGAUCUGAGAGGAUGAUCGGCCACACUGGAACUGAGACACGGUCCAGACUCCUACGGGAGGCAGCAGUAGGGAAUAUUGCGCAAUGGGCGAAAGCCUGAUGGAGCAACGCCGCGUGAGUGAUGAAGGUCUUCGGAUUGUAAAACCCUGUUGUUAGGGAAGAAAAAAUGUGGAUGUAACUAUCCAUGUCCUGACGGUACCUAAUGAGAAAGCAACGGCUAACUUCGUG
rnacentral:rRNA from 1 species